GGUUUUCAAAAAGAUUACUGCAUUCACAUUGCUGGAUUGUUAUUGGAAGAGCCAGAUGAAGCUGAUGCAGUUCCAGAUGCUAAAUAUGAAAAGUUUAUUGGAAGGCUCAAUAAAUGUAGCAUUUACAGCCACAGACUUGCUGCUGACGUUCACAACACUCAGGCUUUAUAGGUGAUCUGCUCAAGACAUGUUGACAGAUGGCUUGCUUGGGAAAGUGGCGCUUCCCAUUGUGUCUCCUCUGGGCAGUGCUCCUGCCCUGCUUCUCUGUUCAACACCACUCAAGUCUUCCAAAGUUUCACCUUAUUUCCAUCUGACUGGAAGAAA